UACGUAGGGGGCAAGCGUUGUCCGGAAUCAUUGGGCGUAAAGAGCGUGUAGGCGGCCCGAUAAGUCCGCCGUGAAAGCCCAGGGCUCAACCCUGGGAUGCCGGUGGAUACUGUCGGGCUAGAAUCCGGAAGAGGCGAGUGGAAUUCCUGGUGUAGCGGUGAAAUGCGUAGAUAUCAGGAGGAACACCUGUGGUGUAGACAGCUUACUGGACCACUUCUGACGCUGAGACACGAAAGCGUGGGUAGCAAACAGG
rnacentral:rRNA from 1 species